CACGCCCUAAACGGUGCACACUAGGUCUUAGCGGAUUCGAUCCCGCUAGGGCCCAAGCUAACGCGUUAAGUGUGCCGCCUGAGGACUACGGUCGCAAGACUAAAACUCAAAGGAAUUGACGGGGGCCCGCACAAGCGGUGGAGCAUGUGGCUCAAUUCGAUGCAACGCGAAGAACCUUACCAGGCCUUGACAUGCACUAGACAGACACUGAAAGGUGUCCUCCCUUCGGGGCUGGUGCACAGGUGC
rnacentral:rRNA from 1 species